CCUACGGGUGGCAGCAGUGAGGAAUAUUGGUCAAUGGACGAGAGUCUGAACCAGCCAAGUAGCGUGAAGGAUGACUGCCCUAUGGGUUGUAAACUUCUUUUAUAUGGGAAUAAACUGUUCCACGUGUGGGCUUUUGUAUGUACCAUAUGAAUAAGGAUCGGCUAACUCCGUGCCAGCAGCCGCGGUAAUACGGAGGAUCCGAGCGUUAUCCGGAUUUAUUGGGUUUAAAGGGAGCGUAGGUGGAUUGUUAAGUCAGUUGUGAAAGUUUGCGGCUCAACCGUAAAAUUGCAGUUGAAACUGGCAGUCUUGAGUACAGUAGAGGUGGGCGGAAUUCGUGGUGUAGCGGUGAAAUGCUUAGAUAUCACGAAGAACUCCGAUUGCGAAGGCAGCUCACUGGACUGCAACUGACACUGAGGCUCGAAAGUGUGGGUAUCAAACAGGAUUAGAUACCCCAGUAAUC
rnacentral:rRNA from 1 species